AACGCGAAGAACCUUACCCAGACUUGACAUGCAGUAGACAGUUCUAGAAAUAGAAUCUUCCUUCGGGACUGCUGCACAGGUGCUGCAUGGCUGUCGUCAGCUCGUGCCGUGAGGUGUUGGGUUAAGUCCCGCAACGAGCGCAACCCUUAUCAUUAGUUGCCAACAUUUAAGGUGGGAACUCUAAUGAGACUGCCUGGGUUAACCAGGAGGAAGGUGAGGAUGACGUCAAGUCCGCAUGGCCCUUAUGUCUGGGGCUACACACGUGCUACAAUGGUCGGUACAGAAGGCAGCGAAGCCGCGAGGUGAAGCAAAUCCAAAAAGCCGAUCCCAGUUCAGAUUGUAGUCUGCAACUCGACUACAUGAAGAUGGAAUUGCUAGUAAUGGCGAGUCAGCAACAUCGCCGUGAAUACGUUCCCGGGUCUUGUACACAC
rnacentral:rRNA from 1 species